UUGGAGGGCAAGUCUGGUGCCAGCAGCCGCGGUAAUUCCAGCUCCAAUAGCGUAUAUUAAAGUUGUUGCAGUUAAAAAGCUCGUAGUUGAAUUUCGGGAUUGACACAUCGGUCGUGCCCUAAGGGGUAUGAACUGGUGUAGUCAGUUUCUCACCUUCUGGAGAACCGCGAUGUCCUUAAUUGGGUGCCGCNGGGAACCAGGACCUUUACUUUGAAAAAAUUAGAGUGUUUAAAGCAGGCAUUUUGCUUGAAUACAUUAGCAUGGAAUAAUAAAAUAGNANGGAUGGUUCUAUUUUGUUGGUUUCUAGGAUCACCGUAAUGAUUAAUAGGGAUAGUUGGGGGCAUUAGUAUUCAAUUGUCAGAGGUGAAAUUCUUGGAUUUAUUGAAGACUAACUACUGCGAAAGCAUUUGCCAAGGAUGUUUUCAUUAAUCAAGAACGAAAGUUAGGGGAUCGAAGACGAUCAGAUACCGUCGUAGUCUUAACCAUAAACUAUGCCGACUAGGAAUCAGACGAUGUUAAUUUUUUAAUGACUCGUUCGGCGCCUUACGGGAAAC
rnacentral:rRNA from 2 species